GUGACGUGUUGUCUUCUAUCAUAUUUAUCUUUGUGCUUCAGCCUUCGUUCUUUAGAUGCUAGGAGGUAAAGCAGGCACUUGCUUUUGAACAACGUAUGUUGCAGCGCAUCGCAAUCGACUAGAGGAGAUAUAUGACAGUGUGAAGAUCACGGAACUUGCUGACUAGGUGAAAACUUCCUUUGCCUUGGAGACGAUCACAUACAUCUGAGAUAUACAGAACGUACGUGCCGUUGGGACUGACAGAGACAGGGCACUAUUCAAUGGCUUUGUACAGCAAUUCCCACGUGCUAUUCAUGUUUUAUGCAAAAAGCAUAUGGAAGACUACAUCCAAAGAAAGCUGACCACCUAGGAAUCACGGGAAACUACAAAAUAGACUUCAUCAAAGACAUCUUUGAAUCAGCAGCUGAACAUCAGUCCGGUAUGGUAGACUGCACAGACGCAUCAGAAUUCCGGCAAAAAUUGGAGGAAUACAAAAACACUUGGGAAAGCAGAGAGCGACUGGCACGAGACAGCAAUUCUUGCUCGUUCUUUUCCUGGUUUUAAAAAUACCAGGCGAAGGAUAUAUAAAAGAAGAUGUUACUCAACAUUAGACGGAACGCAGGGUUAGGCGACGACUUCUUUCUCAACAACGACGUUGAGAGUUCCCACCAUGCUCACUCCUGCAACCACAAAUUGUCUGACUGGCCAACAUUUGUGAAAAGAUUACGUGAGCUUGUAGACAGGCAACAAAGAGAUGUGGAAAAAUCUCUUGUUAAUACCGGCCCGUACAAACUAGCGCCACAUUACAACAAUUUAGAAGUCUCUGUGGACAGGUGGUUUAGUGCCAAUAUCCCCAGAGCAGCCAAGAAGUCCUGACCAAAAAAUCCUUCCCAAUCACGAGAAGACCGUCACACGUACAAACUAAAAUGGUUGAAGGGUACACGGGUAAAGAAAUGCUAUGGCUGCGGAGGCUCCAUUCGUGAUCCACCUCAUGUACCUCCACCCAAUGACAUGGUCUUCACUUGCAACGAGUAUAGAUUGCACCCAACUACAAAGGGAACAUUGAGAUUCUUCAUGAAAAAGGAAGCCACUCAUUAUCAUUUAUCCAUGCUUUCAUUGAACAAAAAAACAAGAACUUCAAUCCUCAAGAUGUUGAAAUAUUAGAGGAAGACCGUAAACAAUUUCUUGUAAGCCACAAAGAGCUCCUUAAAGUUAUCUUGGGUGUUGACAUGUAGCUUUGUAAAAGAACUGCUAAAAGAUUUAGUUAGAAAAAGAUUUGUUUUCAAUUGUUGGGCAGACUCAUUGAUCCUAAGAUCAUUUUAGCGUAAACAAACAGCUAAGAACAAUUCAGGACAUGCUACAAUACCAUUUUGUCAAUUUUUUGCUUCCUGUUAUAAAAAAACUGUAUACAUAACAAGUGCUAGACUAAUAAAUUAAGUAAUACCUUUCAAACACACACUUUCCUGUUAUACUAGUUAAAAGGAUUCAAAAAACAGUUUCAAACACUGGUUCUAA